AUCCAACCGAAGAAUCCUAAAUACGAUGAAACGUGCGUCCUGGAU
rnacentral:hammerhead_ribozyme from 1 species